UAGGGAAUCUUUGGCAAUGGACGGAAGUCUGACCGAGCAACGCCGCGUGAGUGAAGAAGGUUUUCGGAUCGUAAAGCUCUGUUGUAAGAGAAGAACGAGUGUGAGAGUGGAAAGUUCACACUGUGACGGUAUCUUACCAGAAAGGGACGGCUAACUACGUGCCAGCAGCCGCGGUAAUACGUAGGUCCCGAGCGUUGUCCGGAUUUAUUGGGCGUAAAGCGAGCGCAGGCGGUUAGAUAAGUCUGAAGUUAAAGGCUGUGGCUUAACCAUAGUAGGCUUUGGAAACUGUUUAACUUGAGUGCAAGAGGGGAGAGUGGAAUUCCAUGUGUAGCGGUGAAAUGCGUAGAUAUAUGGAGGAACACCGGUGGCGAAAGCGGCUCUCUGGCUUGUAACUGACGCUGAGGCUCGAAAGCGUGGGGAGCAAACAGGAUUAGAUACCCUGGUAGUCCACGCUGUAAACGAUGAGUGCUAGGUGUUAGACCCUUUCCGGGGUUUAGUGCCGUAGCUAACGCAUUAAGCACUCCGCCUGGGGAGUACGACCGCAAGGUU
rnacentral:rRNA from 1 species